rnacentral:rRNA from 1 species
UACGAAGGGUGCAAACGUUGCUCGGAAUUAUUGGGCGUAAAGCGCACGUAGGCGGCUUUGCAAGUCGGAUGUGAAAUCCCUCGGCUUAACCAAGGAAGUGCAUCCGAAACUGCAGAGCUUGAGUACGAAAGAGGAUCGCGGAAUUCCCGGUGUAGAGGUGAAAUUCGUAGAUAUUCGCAAGAACACCAGUGGCGAAGGCGGCUCACUGGCCCGGUACUGACGCUGAGGUGCGAAAGCGUGGGGAGCAAACAGG